rnacentral:rRNA from 1 species
AUGAAUCUGUUAAGUUGGAACUGCCGGGGUGGGGGGGACAGCCAAACAGUUUGUGAGGUCUUGGCCCUAUCAAAUGCCAAUUCCCCCAAACUUUUCUUUUUAUGUGAGAUGAGACAAGCUGCUGUUAAAGUUGAAAAGUUAAAGUGGAGACUUGGUCUCAAGGGAUUUUGUGGUGUGGACAGUGUUGGAAGGAGUGGUGGUCUCGCUCUUUUCUGGGAUGAGGCCCUAACUGUGACUAUCCUGGAUUCAUGUGAGCGGUACAUUGAUGUAAUGGUGGUUGAUGGAAGCACGGGUGUGAGUUGGCGUGGCAGGUUUGUCUAUGGAGAACCGAGGGUGGAGAACCGUCAUGUGAUGUGGCGGCACCUUGAGAGGCUCCGUGCAAUCUCGGAUGAUCCUUGGUUGGUUUGUGGAGAUUACAAUGAAGCACUAUGGCAACAUGAGCAUUUUUUGUGGACACAACGCGGCGAGAGUCAGAUGAGUGCUUUCCUGGACAUGCUAAUGGUUUGUGAGUUGGAGGAUCUAGGCUUUACAGGGACUCCUUACGCAUAA